rnacentral:rRNA from 1 species
GUCCCGCAACGAGCGCAACCCCUACUGCCAGUUGCCAGCAGGUCGUGCUGGGGACUCUGGCGGAACUGCCGGCGACAAGCCGGAGGAAGGCGGGGAUGACGUCAAGUCAUCAUGGCCCUUAUGUCCAGGGCUACACACGUGCUACAAUGGUCUGCACAAAGCGAAGCGAGUCCGAGAGGGCGCAGCGAACCGCCGAAAGCAGGCCGUAGUCCGGAUUGAAGUCUGAAACCCGACUUCAUGAAGCUGGAAUCGCUAGUAAUCGCGCAUCAGCAUGGCGCGGUGAAUACGUUCCCGGGCCUUGUACACACCGCCCGUCGCACCAUCCGAGUUGGGGGCACCCGAAGCCGGCAGUCUAACCGCAAGGGGGACGCUGUCGAAGGUGCGCCGGGCGAGGAGGGUGAAGUCGUAACAAGGUAGCCGUACUGGAAAGUGCGGCUGGAUCACCUCCUUUCU